ACAGCCUAUACAUGCUUACUCAGAAGUCAGUCUGCCUGUGUCCACUGACACUUAUUCCCAGAGAGAUGAACAUCUUGCAGUGGUCAUGCAGCUCACAAGAGACCAUGGGAACGAUGACCUUCUCACAACCCUUCUACACACACUGCUUUGUUGUAUCCUAUCUGUGCAACCACUCAAAGAGAUGGUGAAAGGUACAUGGAAGAUCCUGCUACAUCACAACCCUUGCCGCUCUUCACAUGCUCAAGAGGAUAGGUCAAUAGGCAGCAACAACAAAGAGGGAGAGCAAUAGUGUCAAGAUGCUCCAGCCAUCAGCAGCAAGUCCUUUCACAGAGUUGACAGCCUUUGCAGGUGCCGAACAGUGCCAAAUCUGAUGCCAUCCAUCCCUGAAGAGGGAGCUAAAGAUGAUAAAGUAUGCCUGUAGCCAAGGUCUUUUAUUUCUUAUCAGUCAUACUGUGCCUCCUUUUCAAUUAAUGCUCAUAAUAAUAACAAAUAUUAAUACAUGUUAUUAAUAUAGGAUGUUUAUAAGGUACUUUGCAUGGAUUGAUUGUUUUAGAUCUACCUGUUUAACUGUCAUUUGCAAUUCAAAGUUUCAAGUUAGAAUCUGAAGAAAUAGAUUGUGACUCAUAGAAGUUCAUGAAAAGUUAUGGACUCAGGCUGGCAUCCUUCCAAGGUCACUAAAAUGAGUACCCAGCGUGUUGAGGGCAAUUAGCUUACAGAUGUAAACUGCUUAGAGACUGCUUAGGCCAGUGAUGACG